rnacentral:rRNA from 1 species
AUUGAACGCUGGCGGCAGGCCUAACACAUGCAAGUCGAACGGUAACAGGAAGAAGCUUGCUUCUUUGCUGACGAGUGGCGGACGGGUGAGUAAUGUCUGGGAAACUGCCUGAUGGAGGGGGAUAACUACUGGAAACGGUAGCUAAUACCGCAUAACGUCGCAAGACCAAAGAGGAGGACCUUCGGGCCUCUUGCCAUCGGAUGUGCCCAGAUGGGAUUAGCUAGUAGGUGGGGUAACGGCUCACCUAGGCGACGAUCCCUAGCUGGUCUGAGAGGAUGGCCAGCCACACUGGAACUGAGACACGGUCCAGACUCCUACGGGAGGCAGCAGUGGGGAAUAUUGCACAAUGGGCGCAAGCCUGAUGCAGCCAUGCCGCGUGUAUGAAGAAGGCCUUCGGGUUGUAAAGUACUUUCAGCGGGGAGGAAGGGAGUAAAGUUAAUACCUUUACUCAUUGACGUUACCCGCAGAAGAAGCACCGGCUAACUCCGUG